GAGUUUUGAUCAUGGCUCAGGAUGAACGCUAGCUACAGGCUUAACACAUGCAAGUCGAGGGGAAACGACAUCGAAAGCUUGCUUUUGAUGGUCGUCGACCGGCGCACGGGUGAGUAACGCGUAUCCAACCUGCCCAUCACUUGGGGAUAACCUUGCGAAAGUAAGACUAAUACCCAAUGAUAUCUCUAGAAGACAUCUGAAAGAGAUUAAAGAUUUAUCGGUGAUGGAUGGGGAUGCGUCUGAUUAGCUUGUUGGCGGGGUAACGGCCCACCAAGGCAACGAUCAGUAGGGGUUCUGAGAGGAAGGUCCCCCACAUUGGAACUGAGACACGGUCCAAACUCCUACGGGAGCAGCA
rnacentral:rRNA from 1 species